CCACUUGAAGAUGAAGAAUUGGUUUCCUAUCUACUAGCGGGAUUCGACAUCGACUAUAACCCGCUGGUAUCUUCUAUUGUUACAUGCUCUGAAACUAUAUCUAUGAGUGAUCUCUACUCGCAGAUGGAGAGCUAUGAUA